rnacentral:rRNA from 1 species
GACCUCGGAUCAGGUAGGGAUACCCGCUGAACUUAAGCAUAUCAAUAAGCGGAGGAAAAGAAACCAACUGGGAUUGCCUCAGUAACGGCGAGUGAAGCGGCAUCAGCUCAGAUUUGAAAUCUGGUUCUUUCAGAGCCCGAGUUGUAAUCUGUAGAGGAGUCUUCGGGUUUGGAUCUGGCCUAAGUUUCUUGGAACAGAACGUCAUAGAGGGUGAGAGUCCCGUAUGAGGCCAGCUGCCUAUUCCCAUGUGAAGCUUCUUCGACGAGUCGAGUUGUUUGGGAAUGCAGCUCAAAAUGGGUGGUAAAUUUCAUCUAAAGCUAAAUAUUGGCGGGAGACCGAUAGCGCACAAGUAGAGUGAUCGAAAGAUGAAAAGCACUUUGAAAAGAGAGUUAAAAAGUACGUGAAAUUGUUGAAAGGGAAACGC